CGACUCUUUUAUCCCGACGCUAGGGGAAAGCGUCGGGAAAGUUUGGCUCAGAUCCAGCCUUUGCCGACGCUUUCUUCUAGCGUCGGUAAAGGUUUACAUACAACGACGCUUAAAAGCGUCGGAAAAAGAUUAAAAUACGACGACGCAUAAAAGCGUCGUUAGAAAACCGUUCGCCCAGCCCCCUCUCCUCCAUCGAGAGCCGACUUCCCACCUCCAUCGAGAGCCGACUUCCCACCUCCAUCGAGAGCCGGUGCUUCCCCGCUGCCGUCUUCCUCCUUCCGUUCGCCCAGCCCCCUCUAAAAUUCGGUCGAUGCCUUACUUGUGCGCGCGCCGACUUCCCACCUCCAUCGCGAGCCGGUGCUUCCCCGCUGCCGUCUUCCUCCUUCUCCUCUGAGGUAAGCCUCCUCCUCCUCCUCCUCCUCCUGCUGCUGCUCGUCCUCCUCCUCCUCCUCCUCCUGCUGCUGAGCAGAUCAAAUGAUUGCGACCAAGAGAUCGUUGCAAUGGAUGCUGGGAAGGGCGAUUGGGGCGAGGAGCAUGUGCGCCCUUCCCCACAAAUCCGCCCCCUUCUCUUCCGAGGAACUGAUGAGAAUGGAACACCAGUAUAGCGCUCAUAAGUAAGCUAUGUUGUUGUACCCCACACCACUCCCCUUCUUAGAUCUCAAAUUCUUGCGGCCUUGAUCUAAUGCUUUCCUCACUUAGAUCCUCUGUUAUUUAUGUAGAUUUAUUAUAUUUGGUUUUGUUGGAUGUCGAUGCUACCAGGUCUCUGACUCGGUCGAUCUUGGUUUUGUUGGGAAGGAAGAAAUGUUUGUCAAUGUUUCUGUGUUUUGUUUAUGGGUUUAUCUAUGGUUUUGACAAGUCUGGUUGGUGCAUGAUGAUAUGCUGAUUGAAAUUGGAGGGUUGCCAUGGCUUUUAAGAGUUAGUGAUGCUGAUUUUCAGCUGAUGCUAAUUUUUGAUACGAUGAGAAUUGGUGCUAUUCUUUCUUUGUUGUUUGGCUUUUUGCUCAGUAAACUUGGAAUUUUUGGGCUUGGUUUGAUCUGCUGCUGUAGUUUGUGGUAGUCGUAUAAACCGGUGAUGAAUCAAGGCUUUGCUCUUGUAUACAGCAGUACUAAUGUUGGAGCUUCUUGGACAUUUAUCAACUUGACAGAUCAUUGGUAUGGUGAUAGCAUAGACAUUUUUCACUCGUAUUAAUCCCUGCUUGUCCUAUCUUGGAUAUGUUCUAUUGCUACUUUCAAGGUCAACAUUAUUUCAAUCAUAUACUUUUGUUAUUGUUGCUUAGCAUCUACUUUAUUUUAUGGUUCUGUGAAGUUUACAUUGGAGAAGAGGACGGUCACUCUUAUGUGGAUCUUUUCGAACUAAGAUGUUGUGCACGCUAGAUGACUUCUUUCCUUGUUUCUUUCACUCUUUAAACAUUAAGGGUUCUGCUUCACUACAACUGCACUUGCUCUCAGUUCAGGCUAGUUAGCUUUCAAGGCAUUUUGUAUUUUGAGCUACAAGUGUAUCAUGGUUCCAAUUGAAGGCUUAAUUUUAAAGGGUAGCCAUUGGUUGGUCCUUAAAUCAUGUGUCUUCUUUAAAGUGCGCAACACAAGUUUGUUUCAUGUUUGACUGUUUAUAUAUAUGAGCUCAGGGGAGAUCAUGCACCUGGAUAUCUGAUAUCUGGUCAUUACGCUAUUGAUUAACUUCAAAUCAAUUUUUCCUGCAGGCACUAGGGCCUAACAUCUUUUGUUGGUUAUGCCCUGUAUCAAAGUUCAAAGGCUCUGGUCUCCGAUUUCCCACUGCAUUUGACCUUCCAAUAUCUACAACACUAACUUGACGUAUCAGGUGGCAAAGAUAAGAGUAAUUUGUCUAUAGAAGAUGGAAACCAUGUAAAUUUUUGUGGUUGAGCCUCGCUUGGGAGUGGCACUUACAAUCGUGAAGUGCUUGCCCUACGUUUUUGGACUGACACGAGGGCUUCAAGUUACUUCUGUGGGCUGCUUAUAAACUACAGGAAGGGUAAGCAGAUGGAGUGCCCUUUGCAGGGGGGGGUAUCCUAGGGUCUGUAAGUCCCACCAUAAUAGUCCGGUGAAAUCUAUUGGGAAGUUAUGUGCCUGCCUUCAGGUGAUUUAUUUUGAUAUGGAACCUCAUAAGCCUUUGACAUGUGCUCGAUGUUUCCUGUGUUCCACCUGGUGUAGGUUCUGAGAGGCCUGUCUCCUAUCCAUAUUCCUUCUUCCACCUCAUUUUCUCCCUUGCCAGCAUGUAUGCCAAAUGUUGGAAUCAGACCGAAGUUGGAAUAUCAAUUCCAUUCUAGCCUUUAUUAUUCCAAACAAACAUUGCAUUAGGCUUACAAAAUAUCUAUUACAGAUCUUGUGCUACUUGGUGGAUAAGUAUUUUAUAAACUCAAAAUGAGCAUAAGGUGCUCUUGUAGGUGCUCUUGUAUGCAUUUUGAAUUCCGUCAUAUUAACUUUGGCAUCUGUAUCCAACACUUUGUUGUGGAAAAGAAAUAGAUAAGCUAAACAAUUGUUAUUUUUUUUUCCAGAUCCAAAUACACAUAUAUUAUGGAUAGAGAAUGCAAAUGCAAAAUUGAAGGCUGUCCAUGACAUCGAAGCAGGUGAGGAACUGCGGAUCUGCUAUAUUGAUGUUAGCAUGGGUUAUGAGGCUCGGCAGAAAAUUCUUGCUGAAGGUUUUGGUUUCAAGUGUAGCUGUCUUCGGUGCUUAUCUGGCGAAUAACAAGCAUUUUUCUUAUAUUUUAAUAGGGAUGAUCUUACACUCCAAGAGGAUUAAAAGUACUGAAGGCGGCUAACAGCAAAGCCCAGGACUCCUGAAGUUGUUUCAACCAUCAUGCAGGGAUCACUGGAUCAAACAGAGCAUGCAUUUUCUUUAUCUCCAAUAGCUCUUUUUUGUUAAUGCUUCUCUGAAGCCUAGGACUCUUAACCAGCCCAGUUUUCAUGCUCACGUGUUUCUAAGGGUGGUACAGUGCAAGUUAGGUUUCAGCCUUACAUUGGACAGUAUUUAGCAGCAGCAGCGGAAAAUUUGGUGACUAUUUUUGAUGUUGAGACUGACAGAAAGAUAUACACAGCGGAAAAUGAUGGGGGCUUCUACUCGGCCAUCAUUAAAGUUAAUUGUUUAAUGUGCAAUAGAAUUAUUGAAGCCUUCUGUUUGUUAUAAUUAUUAUAUUGCUAUAUUGUAUUUGAAGAAUAGUUGGAAGAAGGAACAAAAAUUGUACCUUAUGCAUCAUGCAGGUUAUAUACUAGUAUUAACUUUAAAAUAUAGCCCCCAUAUCGUAGAUUGUGUACUUAGGAAUUUGAGAUGUAUAUUUUUAGAAUGUUUUUGAAGUACAAUGUAAUCAAAUAUUAUAAUAUGAAUGUAAUCAAAGUUCUUGUUUGUGA